UACGGAGGGGGCUAGCGUUGUUCGGAAUUACUGGGCGUAAAGCGCGCGUAGGCGGACCUGCAAGUCGGGGGUGAAAGCCCGAGGCUCAACCUCGGAACUGCCUUCGAUACUGCGGGUCUCGAGUCCGGGAGAGGUGAGUGGAACUCCGAGUGUAGAGGUGAAAUUCGUAGAUAUUGGGAAGAACACCGAUGGCGAAGGCAGCCAUCUGGACCGACACUGACGCUGAGGCGCGGAAAGCGUGGGGAGCAAACAGG
rnacentral:rRNA from 1 species